UGGGGAAUAUUGCACAAUGGGCGCAAGCCUGAUGCAGCCAUGCCGCGUGUAUGAAGAAGGCCUUCGGGUUGUAAAGUACUUUCAGCGGGGAGGAAGGCGAUAAGGUUAAUAACCUUGUCGAUUGACGUUACCCGCAGAAGAAGCACCGGCUAACUCCGUGCCAGCAGCCGCGGUAAUACGGAGGGUGCAAGCGUUAAUCGGAAUUACUGGGCGUAAAGCGCACGCAGGCGGUCUGUCAAGUCGGAUGUGAAAUCCCCGGGCUCAACCUGGGAACUGCAUUCGAAACUGGCAGGCUAGAGUCUUGUAGAGGGGGGUAGAAUUCCAGGUGUAGCGGUGAAAUGCGUAGAGAUCUGGAGGAAUACCGGUGGCAAAGGCGGCCCCCUGGACAAAGACUGACGCUCAGGUGCGAAAGCGUGGGGAGCAAACA
rnacentral:rRNA from 1 species